AGCAGCCGCGGUAAUUCCAGCUCCAAUAGCGUAUAUUAAAGUUGUUGCAGUUAAAAAGCUCGUAGUUGAAUUUCGGGAUCAGUACGGUGGUCGUGCCUCCGGUAUGUACUGUUGUUACUGGUUCCUCCCUUCUGAAGAACUAUCAUGUCAUUAAUUUGGUGUGGUGGGGAAUCAGGACUGUUACUUUGAAAAAUUAGAGUGUUUAAAGCAGGCUCGCGCUUGAAUACAUUAGCAUGGAAUAAUGAGAUAGGACGUUUGAUCCUAUUUUGUUGGUUUCUAGGAUUGACGUAAUGAUUAAUAGGGAUAGUUGGGGGCAUUAGUAUUCAAUUGUCAGAGGUGAAAUUCUUGGAUUUAUUGAAGACUAACUAC
rnacentral:rRNA from 1 species